AAUAGAUACCCAGGUAGUCCACGCCGUAAACGAUGGAUGCUAGCUGUUAGGAGUAUCGACCCUCCUAGUAGCGUAGCUAACGCGUUAAGCAUCCCGCCUGUGGAGUACGGUCGCAAGACUAAAACAUAAAGGAAUUGACGGGGACCCGCACAAGCGGUGGAGCGUGUUGUUUAAUUCGAUGGUAAGCGAAGAACCUUACCCAGGCUUGACAUCCCACUAAGGAUCCCGAAAGGGAACUGUGUCUUCGGACCGUGGUGACAGGUGUUGCAUGGCCGUCGUCAGCUCGUGUCGUGAGAUGUUUGGUUAAGUCCAUCAACGAGCGCAACCCUUAUAGUUAGUUGUAUUUCUCUAGCUAGACUGCCCUGGCAACAGGGAGGAAGGAGGGGAUGGAUGUCAGGUCAGUAUUACCCUUACGCCUGGGGCUACAAACACGCUACAAUGGCCGGUACAAAGGGCAGCCAACCCGCGAGGGGGAGCAAAUCCCGAUCAAAGCCGGUCUCAGUUCGGAUUGCAGGCUGAAACUCGCCUGCAUGAAG
rnacentral:rRNA from 1 species